rnacentral:lncRNA from 1 species
AAAAAUAGAACAAUUAGGUAUAAAUUAUGAUUUAUAAAGAAUAUUAACUGUAUUUUUGUUUAAUAUGCAUAAAAAUUGAGAGGGGAAUGUUAUGUGGGACUGAUGGAGUAAUUAUAAUGCCAGUCCAAUUGAUAUGGAAUAGGAUUGAAAUUAGCCGCUGUUGGGUAUCUUCGCCUAGCCGAGGUUACACCACUUGGUUCCCGACCAUCCUGCCGCCUUCACUCGACACUCAAGUGUCACAGUCCACUCCUCGUUUCUUCUCCUUCUUCUUCACCUCUUAAUACCUGCAAAACACAAAGAGAAACAACAAGUAAAAAAGGAACAACAGAAAACUUAAAGAAGGACAGAAAGACGAAAAUCAGAGGCAACACUAAGUGGGGAAAACGUGUCCUCGGGACACUUUGGCUCAGAUUUUUCCCACACAAGGCAAUAGCUCUUCCGGCAGCUCAAUGAUCAAGGCUCAGGGAAUAGGGAGAACUGAUCGACACACAAAUCUCAUAUGCACAACCACCAAACCCACAGUGUAUCACCAAAUAGGAAUCCGCUGGUCAGGAAUCCGGCGAUACAAGCAAUCUAUCGGAGCGAAGUUCACACCCACAGUCACCAAUCAAGAAACCAUGAACAGGAAUCCGGCGACACUUCAAGAAGGAAUAGCAGAGCCUUUUGAGUCAAACAGUGUGUGAAACUUGCUCCAAUGGAAAGAUAUGCAGUGGGGAUAAAUAGGGGUGGAGUAAAUGGUUUGUGGGAAGACAAAAGGGGGCAGCCAUUAAUGGUGGGGGUGGAGAACGAGGAGAUGGGCGGUGGAAGGGUGCUGGAGCCGGGAAGACGAAAGUGGAAGGAUGAGGGUGAGAGAGAUUAGGGUUUGAGAGCAGCGCAGAGGUGUGAAAAUGAGAGGGCUAGGGAUUUUGGACUCGAAUUUGGGCUUAAGAGAAUUAAUGAGAAUUGAGCCAACACUCCACAGCCGCAUUUAUUAUUUUC